AUUUUUUUCUUCGAUUAGUAAACAGCAAAAUUCAAAUUCUUUGCUCAGAAGAUUUGAAAUAUAUUUUAAUAUUUUUUUUUACUCAUUCGAUCGAUAUGGGUGGCAAUUUCUUUGGGUUUUUAAAGGAAUUUAGAAGCUACAACAAAGACCUAACACCUGUAGAAAGUGCGAAACAGGCUGGUUCCGUAUGGCGUCAAAUGUCAGACCAUCAAAAAUUACAAUAUACUUUUGAAAAAAGGGUGAGGAAAGUUCAGACAUGUUCUCAUUGCGGUCAGAGGAUAAAAAAGAAGCGACGUGGACGAAAACAGAAGCGUAAAAUAUCUGCAACAAAAAAAAUUGACUACAUUAAGAAGAGCAAAGCGACCAAAAAACGGCAGAAACGCCGUCAAAAUUUCUAUUAAUAACAUCUUAUGGAGGAGUGGAUAAUUAUAUUGGUGGCAUUAAAAAACUAGUUUCCAGUCCGUGACGCUAGCCACUUAUUAUUUGGCGUCUUAAUAUAUUGCAAAAUCGUACUUCUAGUACGUAAAAAUAAUAAAUUUGCCUUCUGAAUUCAUUAUCUGAUAACAUUCCGUCCAAUGCUGUCCAAUCCAAUCCAAAAUGCUCUAUUUAUGGCGAAAACUGUUCGUAAUGUUUCUACAUAUGUGUUACUUUGAUUUAAACCUGAAGACUUAAUUUUAUUAAAUUAUUGAAGAUACCCUGUCAAAUUAGAAACAAAUUCUAAUUGUAUUGUGCAAAUUACAUAAAAGUAUGUUUACCGAAAAUUCUACAAAGAAAAAAUUAAAAUUUAUUUGAAUAAAAUGAACAAAAUGAUGUCCCUAAAAAUUAACGAUUGCUUCAAUUCUAUUGAUGAAGUAUAUAUUACAUAAUAUGAGUACGUGAAGAAAAACACUGAAAAAUUAUAAAUUAAAUUAUAUGUACAAAAAAAAUUUGAUGAUGGAAGGAAUACUGGAGCCUAUUUUAGAGGAAAUCGCAAUAACGAAACUAUUUGUAUCAAACAAACUGAAAAUUAUGAGUA